UGUGGGGAAUCCUGGCAUCUCAGGGGAGCGGACAGCAGGAGGGGUAGGGGCACCAAAGUUAACUCACCGUCUGCAGCACAGCCAAUUUCACCUUCCCGAAUUUAUCUUGCUCUAUCCAGGGCUCCCGCACGAUUUUGGCGCCCCGUUCCCGGGCUUUCUGCAGAGGAGAUGGGUCAGGGAGGCGGUUAAGUGCUGGACCCUCCCAGAGCCCUUGCCGGCUCCCCUGGGGUCCAGCCUCUGCGGGACUUCCCCACCUCAUCCUGCCACAGGCUCCUCUGGUUUUUCCAGCCCCGGGCGGGAACUACAGCCAGCUUCAGCUACCGCCCCCGACACCCAUGCCUUGUGCCCGUCUGGCAAAUAGGGAAACUGAGACCCAGGCCCAGGGUUGGGGCUACGAGAGACAAACCAGGUGGGGGUGGGGGUGUGUCCCACCUCUGCUAACCCACUCUGUGGCCCUUCCCCCUCUCCAGUCCUCAGCUUCCCCAUCUGUAAAACAGGUGAUUGGAUAGGAAGAAUCCGACGGGCAUUUAUCGAGCACCUGUGUCAGACCCUUGCCAGGCACCCUUACAUGCAUGACUCCUGCAUUUAUUUAGCAAAACCUGACUGCAUAGCUGUGCUUAUCACAUGUCCGGCAUCAGUGAAGGUAGUAACCUCUUCCACCCGCACAGCAACAUUACAGGAAAGGUACUGUGAUUGUCUCCAUUUUAUAGUUGAGGAAACAGAGGCGCAGAGAAGUUAAGUCACUUGCCCAAAGUCUCACAGAUAAUAAGAUUCAGACCUGGGCAGUCUGGCUCUGGAGUCUAUGCUCUGAACCUCCAAGCUGCUUCUCGAAUAGGGUGUUUGGUUCAGAGUCACGCUCGAGAAGUCGUAAUUAUGAUCUCAUUUCCUCGGGGUAAACCUCAGUGAGGUAGGUGCUCUGAUUGUCCCCAUUUUACAGAUGUGGAAACUGAGGCUCAGGGAGACGACAUGCGGCUGGCAAGGUGGAGCUCAGGUGUGCAUCACAGCAGUGUCUGGGGUUGUCACCCCAACACGGCAGGUCCUCCGGCCCUGACCUACAGGGGACUCUGUGACAGACCAAGGGCAGCCCAGAAGCCAUCUCACCUGCACGAUGUAGUCACAGUCUUCCACCUCAAAUGCGAUGUCCUUCACUCCAUCGCCGUGUUUUACCAGGUGGUCGCCCAUCUCUGUGGCCGGUAGGGGAGGUCAUGGCGCUAGAGCCAUGGCCCCCUCCCCCCUCCCCUCUACUGUCAGUCCCGGGGUUCCAUCUCCUUCUAGGCUGGGGAACCCUCCCUGAACUGGACCCACUCCUUUGUUCCUUACCCUUCCCCCACAAUAGCUUGUCUUCACCCCCUAGUACCCUGAGCCCCCGGGCCUCCUUACCUUUGUUCCAGGGGUUGAGGGCGGAGGAGAAGACAAACACGAUCUAAGAACACAGAGGAGAAAGGAGGGGUAGCUGGUGGCUCAGGAGAGCACCUGGCGAUGUAUUACCAUCCCCUCCUCCCUGCCCACCUGGGAGACACCCCAGGACCACAUCACCCCUCCCAGCCAGGCAGGAUUCCUUAACCCUGGGUUCCAGCUCCGUCUCUGCCUUAGCUUCUCCCUGAGCUGAGCUCUUGGCUCUGGCCCCCCCCAGGGGAGGGAAUCCCCAGGGGUCCCAGGGACCAGGGCACUGCUCGGACUUUCAGUUCUGAUGUCUGAGGCCUCCGCCAACUUAUCGGGAACAUCUGUGAGGCCAGCGUUGGGCCAGGCCAAGGAGAUGAAACUAACAUCCGUGUUGCAAGUUGUACAAAGGUGCCCGUGGAAGGGAGAGUGGGGGCUCUCAGCCCAUGUUCCCUUAGCCCCACCAGAUGUCCUGGGAGAGAACCGGGUGGGCCUGGGGAAAGGGCCUCCUGGUCUACUUCACCCAGAGGCCAGAGCCCUAAGGAGACUCAGAGACCAGCAGGGGCAGAGAAGGCAAGUGGGAGCCUCCUGGGUGAGUGGGGUCCUGGGGUGGCGACUCACCUUGCCUUGCUUGAUCACGUGGCUGACCACCUCCCGGGAACCCGUUUCCAGGCCCUUGUAGGCCAGAGGUUCAAAGCCCAUCUUGUUACAGUAGAAUGACGCAGCCUAAAUCACAGAGUUACAACCGGGUUCCUGAGGGCCAGCCUGGGGGGCCCCCAGCUGGAGGGAGGGAGCCUCCAGUCCCCCUAAGACUGUCUGCCCUGUUGCCCCAGGCACAGAGUCCGUUCUGCGAAGAAAGGCCACUGCCUGGCCCAUUCUGAUGUCAGAUAAGUUUCCUGCUGGGGUCUGAGGCCCUGAUUGUGUAAUUAGUAUCCAAAGAGUGUCUCUCUUUCCUGGGAUGGUCCCAACACUGGCCCUGAUCCUCCCCACCCAGGGGCCAAUCACAGGCCCUACUGGAGGCCCGCCCUUGUCCAGGAGGCUCUCUUGCCUGCCCUCUGCCCUCUCCAGUUCCCGGCCCCAGCUUUUACCUGCUUGGCAUUGCCAACCCAGAAGGUCACGGAGUGGAAAUGGAGGAAUCGGCCCCUCGCAGGCUGCAGAAGGAGAGAAGGGGAGAGGCUAAGUCUCUGGAGAGCCUGGUUGCCUGGCUCUGACUCUGGGCUGACACCUGCUGUUGUCUGCUGCGAGCCAUUUCAGCCCCAUCACGAGCUGUGUGGAAUGAAAAUCAGGUGAAAUCACUCCACUCGAUGAGCUGGCCAGAUUUGGGACACCCCUCUGCGGAGCGGCCGCUGUGAAAACAUUACGGGUGCUGCCGGACCGUCUGGUUGUGCAGAUGUCCACGAUGAAGGGUUUGCUUUCUGAUGGCACAAGUUAAAACUCAGCUGCUGAUCGGCUAUUUCUGGUGCAGACUCGUUGCCUUCCUAACUGCGAUUCCUGCCCAAAGCAGCAGGUUGGGCGAGGGCAUGUCACAAGGACCGUGACCCUCCCACCCACUCCUGGCAGAUGGGAGAAUCUCAUGGCUAUGGAUUGUUGCAUUUGACUUUUCCACUAGUUGUAGUUUCCAUCAAUGAACUGACUGAUAGUCUGAUUCUCUGGUUUUGAGAGAGAGAGAGAAGAAGGAAGAAAGAAGAGAGAGAGAGAGAGAGAGAGAGAGAGAGAGAGAGGAUCCAAAGCAGGCUCUGUGCUAUCAGCAUAGAGCCCAACGUGGGGUUUGAACUCACAGACCAUGAGAUCAUGAUCUAAGCUGAAGUCGGACACUUAACCAACUGAGCCACCCAGGCACCCCAAGAAUUAAAGUUUUAAUUACUGAGUGGGACAUAGUGACUUUUUAACAACAGAGAAAAACAAAAUCCCAGUACCUGGGAGGCUCAGGGGAUAAGAGGCGAGAGCAUCACUCAUCUUGGCUUUUCAGAACUGUUCUGGCUUGGAACUGAUGGCCUCAAGUAGUCCCUCUUAAGCUAAUAACUCAAGGGAAUUAUUUGGACCGCAGCCAGAACCCUAGGAUAGGAGGUCCCAUCUGGGGAGUCCUGAUACCUAGACUUUCAGACAAAUACACACCCUCCUAGGGGGGCCCUGACACUGUAAACUCUGUUUCAGGUGGGGGGCAGGUUUGGCCUCUGGGACUGUACUUCUUCUGUGAGUCCCCUGGACAUCAUGAUAUUCAUUGCCUGUGCCCCGGAAGGUGUUCAAAGCAGCUUCAACUUAUUGGCCACAGUUGUGCUGUGCUGAAUCCUUGCACCUCUGCUCAGAUUUUAUUUUUCAGGCUCUGUGCUGACAGCAGAGAGACCGACACGGGGCUCGAACUCACGAACUGUGAGAUCAUGACCUGAACUGAAGUCUGAUGCUUAACUGCUUGAGAUACCCAGGCACCCUGAGACUGAGUUUUUAACUUAAGAAAAGAUCUUUAGCUGAGGGAAUGGGAUCUGUCUCCAAGUUGUCACCUUGGAAGGCAGAGCACCUUAAAAUAAUAAUAAUAAUAACAAAAACGCUGAUUUUCUGGUCACUGAUUUAUGUGCCAGGCACCGUGCUAAGCACAUUAUAUAUUGUGCUCUUUACUCAUUAAAUCCCCAAAUAACCCUCAGAGGUAAGUGCUAUCAACAUCCCCAUUUUACAGAUUAGAAAACAGAGGCUCAGAGAGGUGUCUGAGCACAGCGAAAAAGUGACAGAACUGAGAAAUGAACCAGGCCUGACUCUCUCCAAAGCCUACAAGCUAGCCACCUCCAGCCAUGCUGUCAUUACUCAGCUAUUUUGGGAAAUGCUUUGGGAAUGACCUCUGAGCCCAUUUUCAAGCAGCAGGAAAAAACAAACAAACAAACAAACAAAAAUUCAGUCUCCUGGUUGUACUCAUUAAGACCUGGAGAAGUUCCUCUUCAUUUGGCCUCUGGCAGAGUGGGAAGGGCAGGCGUGGCAGGAGGCCAGGGUGGGCCCAGGAGGGAGCUAGGAGACCUGUGGGCAUGCGCAGGGGCUCCGUUGGCGGGCUGGAGAGGAAGGCUUUGUUCAGGCAGAGGUGGGUGCCCCGUCACUGAGCAACCUUCGGUAAGUCACUUCUCUCUGAACCUCAGUUUCCGUGGCGUCCCGAUGGAGUGGGGGCUGGCAUGGGUGGUGCAAGAAUUCACCCAAGUCAGAACAAAGGAGAUGGAGAUUUAUUGAAUACACUGCAAGAGAGCAGCGGGCAGGACAGCAAAGGAGAGACUGUCUGCCUGGUCUGCCACCAGGCGGUAUUGUGGGGCCACAGUUACAGGGUGGGAGGAGGAGAUAUGGGAACAUAUGGGAACUUUUUUUUUUUUUUUUUUUUUUUUUUUGGUAACUGUGUAAAUGGCCCAUUGGUUAGUUAAGGCCUGUGGCAAUUUUAAGAAGAGUUGCCUAAUGAGCCUACUUCAUGGGGGGAAGGGGAGGGGCGGUGGCUGUGGGCUAAUUUACCUCACUCAGGUUUCCACUGCUCAAGCCUGUUGCCUAAAAGUGGCCCUGAUCAUCCCCCCACCCCGACAGGUCGGCAAUGACAAAUCCUUGGCAUUUGAGUGGAAGUCUCAUCUUCAACGGCUUCUUCCUGCUGAACGAGGGGUGUAGAGAUGUCCCUACGUAUGGAUCAACAUUGAGACAGAGCAUGAGCGGGAUCAGAGAGAGAAGGAGUCACAGAAUCCAAAGCAGGCUCUAGGCUCUGAGCUGUCAGCACAGAGUCCAACACGGGGCUCGAACCCACAAACCGUGAGAUCAUGACCUGAGCCAAAGUCGGACGCUUAACCAACUGAGACACCCAGGCGCCCCACGCCUUGGUCAAGUUUCCAUUGCUUAAGCCUGUUCCCUAAAAGCAGCCUCUACAGUUUCCUCUUCUGUAAAUGGGGAAUUAUCAUAGCACCUCCUUCAUAGGGUCGUCUGAGGAUCAUCUGAUCUAAUGAAGGUAGGAUGCUUUGCUUGAAGUCUGGCCCUUAGUAAGACUCAGUUAAUGGUUACCAAUUAUGUCGAUUGUUAUAAGGAAUGUGGGAGGUUCUCGAAUAUUGGGUUAUGGUACUUGGGUUUUAUCUCUGAGGCAGUGGGGGGCUGUUCAGAGUUUUAUAAGUGCAACAUCAUCAUGACUUUAAAGGCUCCUCCCUUCAAGGUCGCAGGAAAGAGGGCUGAGCAGAAAACCCAGCUGUUCAUAGGUGCCGUGCUGGGACUGGAGUGGCCCAGUGGCCUAUUUGUGAUUCUUCAUUAUAUUCAGAGAACAUAAAUAAACCGAAGGCUUUAGUUACAUUUUAGAAUUGGACCUAAAAACAGCCAAACAGUCUUGUGUUCUGCUUCCUAGAAUCUACAGCUACAGAGCCCCAAAAAGAAGGAAUGAGGAUUCAAAGGCACCAGCCCAGGGAUAGAAUUUCCCCCACCCUGCCCUGCGCCCCACAGCCUUCCCCACAAGGGCACACCGAAGUUAGGGAGAAGGUGUGGGCUGGCCAGGGGGCUGGGCUGUUAUCAGGGUAGUGCAGUGGGUCGGGGCCAGUGGGGCGUGGCUAUUCUGUAUCUCUCCGGGCACAGAGCCCACAGGCCUGAGCUUUGAGGGGACAGGCAGCCAUAUCACCAGGCAUCAGUGAUGGCCUGGAGGGUCAAGAGAGUUGUUGGCCUGGGAUACAGGAUCCCUGGGCUCUGGAGACUGUGAACUUGGGCUACUCCCAGCUCCUCUUUGAGUCUCAGUUUUCAAACUGUGCAAGCAAUGAGUGCCCUGCCUCUGAUGUGUUCUGAAGGAUGUCCUCCCGGCUUGGCUCUGGGAGCACUAAGGAAUGUCCUGGAUAUUUGCUGGGAGCACAGAGGAAUGUCCUGAAUAUUUACUGCCAGCAUCCACUCCUACCCUGUUGUUACAGCAUCUCUUUUCCUUUGCGAAACCAUCCCUUCCCCUCCCUGUCCACGUGGUUUUAAGGGCAGGCCAGCUGGGACCAGCCAGUGAGAAAACCCUGUGAUUGCUUCAGGGAUGGGAGCCUGGCCCAGAGCCAGCCAAUGUGGGUUUGUCCUGGGACUUUUGCUUGAGAAAGAGCGUCUCUCUGAGCUCUGUAUUUGUUCAGCUGACCGCACGGUGCUUUGCUGGCCACGUCUGCUUCCAUGUGGGGUAAAUGUGCCUGUGUAUGAAGCCAGCACAGGGAAAGCAGGGAUGGGAAAGAAACAGAUUCCUAAUAUCUGAGCAUCUUGUUCCAGGCAUGCUUCUGGGUGAGCCCGAAUUCUCCCUCUUCUGCUUCAGCUAGUUUGAGAUGGGUUUCUGGCCUUUACAACCAUUGAUUCUGGCACACUAGGAGAACAAUCGUAAUCAUAACAGCAACAACGCUGUCCAGGAGCACUUAUCCAACGUCAGGCGCCAAGGUGGUGGUGGAGGGGGGCGGGGCUUGUCUGCUGUAGCAACUGGCAUUAAUGUUGUUUCAAGUUGCUGGCACAAAAUGAUAAAAUAACGUUGACGGACUUCAGCAGUUUUUAUUAUUUUUUUAAAUUCUUUUUAAAUAUUAUUUUCAUGUUUACUUAUUUUUGAGAGAGAGAGAGAGAGUGCGCAUGUGCACAAGCGAGUGAGAGGGGGGCAGAGAGAGAGGGAGACACAGAAUCGGAAGCAGGCUCCAGGCCCUGAGCUGUCAGCCCAGAGCCCGACCUGGGGCUCGAACCCAUGAGCCGUGAGAUGGUGACCUGAGCUGAAGUCGGAUGCUUAACCAACUGAGCCAUGCAGGUGCCCCAUAUUAUUUUUAAAUGCUUUAAAGACAGUGCACCCCUGUGGUAGGGACAACGACCUGCUGCCCCAUCUGCCUUCGAGGCAGUAAUUGCUGCCCAGGUGCAGGGACACUGGCAGGCUGGACACUCCCACAGGAUCUGCUGCUGCAGAGACUUUUCCCAAAGUGGCUGCGACUGAGCACAGUAGCGGUUGAAAGGUCAGGUCAUUUCAGCCCAAUGGGGAAAACCGAUGGGUAAGUCUGUCUCCGGACCCCCCGGUGGGGUUGGCCAAGGCCUUGUGGCCUCCUCCCCCACCGACCACUCCUUCUUCUCAAUCUCGUUUCCCCCCUCCUUUCAGCAAGGUGGAGGCCUAAAAACUUCUUGCACCCCAAGCUCUGUCUCAGCCUCUGCUUUUGGAGAACCCAUCCCGUGACGCCCUCACUGUACCGGCCCCUCUACUGCGCCUGGUGUGUGCUUCUGGGCAUUGUACCUGUCUUGUCCUCUCGGUGUUAUUUCUUCUGUGUUACAGAUAAGGAAAUCGAGACUCAGGAAGAUGAAGACUGGCACAAAUCACUUGUCUGCUUCGGUUAGAAAA